UCUUCACGACCCGAUGAGAAGCUCAAUGACUACUGCUGUACACACCACUGACCGGAAGGCCGGAAGGCAGGCUCGUAAAAAUACGACAGUGUGUGCUCACCCGCCCCGGUCAGCUGGCACCAUGUGCUUUCCAGUUCUUCCUCAAAGUCAAAAUGACUGUGUGGGACAGACAUCAAGACAGCACAACUGAAGACACAAAAGACUCCAGCACUGCUUCCCGAGGUGGCAGGAACAAUGAGGAAACAUAGCUGAGAAAUCUCCUGCCCAAGUCUAGCUAUACCUCAUCAUUCCACUCUGUCCUCCCUGCUGCUGCUCUUGGGUUCCAGGAGUAUUAAAAACCAGACACUACAUACACUUCGUCAAAUCCCCAAGCUCGGCUCCUGUCCUCAACAAGGAAGGCAUCUUGGUAAUCAGCAGUGGCUCUCAAGAUGCACUGGACAGCUGGGGGACAAGCAAUGAAGGACAACUUACUUUUAAACACCUCUCAUUCUAUGGCAUUUACAGUGGUUACCAGUCUGUUCCCAGUCUGAAUGAUGACGAAAUCCUCAGAGGUGGUUAACAUAGGAAGAAGACAGGCUCAUUGUGGCUCACGAUACUGGAAGGCCAAGGUCAAGCGACCACACCUGGUGAGGAUCAUGCUGGCAGAGCCCCAGAGCAACACAAGGCAUCGCACAGCAAGACACAUGGAACUGCGCACAUGCGUGCACGGUCUGGCCUCUCUACGUCUUCGUACAAAGCACCAGCAGUGAAUCCCCAGCCCCCCAACAGCCCCGAAGUCUAAUCACCUCCCACAGGGCCCACCUCCAAGUACCACAGGGAGGUUUACACUGCAAGUGCUAACAGUUCACAAUGGAGAUAAACUGCAAUAUGGAUUCCAGAGGGAACAAACCCUGUCCACACCACAGCACAUUCUACCCCCAAGCACAAAGCCCAGGAAAGGAAUGAGAGACUUGACAAAUACAAGGUCUAAGGGCGAAGGAGGAGGGAUCUUGCUCCUCUCGCAUUAGCAGACCAUGAAGCAAAAUGAUGACUCACAAGAACACCCUGCUCAGAGGGAAAUAAAGUGUCUUUUGUUUUUUGAAACAUCUUUACUCACAUGAUGAUCCCUAUAGAUUCUGAUUUUUGAGACCCUAAAUUUUUAUUUGAUGAUAGUAGAAAAAAAUCAAGCAAAAAAUAAAUAAGCAAACCUAAACAUAA